CCCUUAGAUGUUCUGGGCCGCACGCGCGCUACACUGACGAUGGCAACGAGUUUUUCCUUCGCCGAAAGGUGUGGGUAAUCUUUUGAAACAUCGUCGUGCUGGGGAUAGAUCAUUGCAAUUUUUGAUCUUGAACGAGGAAUUCCUAGUAAGCGCGAGUCAUCAGCUCGCGUUGAUUACGUCCCUGCCCUUUGUACACACCGCCCGUCGCUACUACCGAUUGAAUGGUUUAGUGAGGACUCCUGAUUGGCGCCGCCGCCCCGGCAACGGAGCAGCGGACUGCCGAAAAGUUGUUCAAACUUGAUCAGUUAGAGGAAGUAAAAGUCGUAACA
rnacentral:rRNA from 1 species